UAUGUACUCCCUCCGUCCGGAAAUACUUGUCAUCAAAAUGAAUAGAAGGGGAUGUACUUAGACGUAUAUUAGUUCUAAAUACAUUUUUUUAUCCAUUUUGAUGACAAGUAUUUGCGGGCGUAGGGAGUACUAC
rfam:Triticum aestivum genome assembly, contig: Triticum_aestivum_CS42_TGACv1_scaffold_328251_4BS